rnacentral:tRNA from 1 species
GUACUGUUAGAGACUAACUGGUUAGGGUUUCGGGCUUGUAACCGGAGGGUUGCCGGUUCGAUCCCCGACCAGUAAG